CGCGUAGGCGGGCGUUUAAGUCAGAGGUCAAAUCCCAGGGCUCAACCCUGGAACUGCCUUUGAUACUGGACGCCUAGAGUACGGGAGAGGUGUGUGGAACUCCGAGUGUAGAGGUGAAAUUCGUAGAUAUUCGGAAGAACACCAGUGGCGAAGGCGACACACUGGCCCGUUACUGACGCUGAGGCGCGAAAGCGUGGGGAGCAAACAGGAUUAGAUACCCUGGUAGUCCACGCCGUAAACGAUGAGUGCUAGUUGUCGGCAUGCAUGCAUGUCGGUGACGCAGCUAACGCAUUAAGCACUCCGCCUGGGGAGUACGGUCGCAAGAUUAAA
rnacentral:rRNA from 1 species